UACAGAGGUCUCGAGCGUUAGGCGGAAUCACUGGGCUUAAAGCGUGUGUAGGCGGAUCGGUAAGUACCUUGUGAAAUCCCACAGCUUAACUGUGGAACUGCUUGGUAUACUGCCAGUCUUGAGCCAGCUAGGGGCUACCGGAACAAAUGGUGGAGCGGUGAAAUGCGUAGAUAUUGGGAAGAACACCUGAGGCGAAGGCGGGAUGCUGGGCCGACACUGACGCUGAGGCGCGAAAGCCAGGGGAGCAAACGGG
rnacentral:rRNA from 1 species